rnacentral:tRNA from 1 species
CUGGUAAAAGGAAGACUUAAACUUCCCUUGACGGAUUUACAGUCCGCCACCUAUUUCUCUCGGCCACUUUACCU